UACGUAGGGCGCGAGCGUUGUCCGGAAUUACUGGGCGUAAAGCGUGCGCAGGCGGCUUUGCAAGACAGAUGUGAAAUCCCCGGGCUUAACCUGGGAACUGCAUUUGUGACUGCAUGGCUGGAGUGCGGCAGAGGGGGAUGGAAUUCCGCGUGUAGCAGUGAAAUGCGUAGAUAUGCGGAGGAACACCGAUGGCGAAGGCAAUCCCCUGGGCCUGCACUGACGCUCAUGCACGAAAGCGUGGGGAGCAAACAGG
rnacentral:rRNA from 1 species